rnacentral:lncRNA from 1 species
CUCUCUUUUCCGCAUUAUUUCUUCUUCUUUGUUUCAUUACUUGAGAUGAAACAAGAACAAGUCAUGCUUUUAGCUAUUGUAUAGCCUAGCUUGCAAGUGUGUGUGUGUGUGUGUGUGUGUUUUCCAUUCUUUCUUGGGAGGAAUGAAAGGAUUGUUGAUUGUCACUUGGCCGACAAUCCAUUCUGCUCUUGGUCGGUCCCUUGGAUCAUGUCGGACAUCUUCGGAGAAGUUUUUUGGCAGUUUGUUGCUUUGGUGACUAAUCAACAUGAUUUUCAUUUGGAGGAUUAAUAUCAUCCCACUCACACCCUACCCAUAAAGAAGUAAAGGAAGCUAAUGAAAGUCCAAGCAUUGGCAACAAACCAUAUAAAUCAUUUUUGGACUUAUGCGGUUUCAUUAAGUUGUGGAGCCAUUAGGCUUGAUGGAGGCCUACAAGGGAUGCAUACCAAUUAUGUUUAAGAAAGAAAAAAUAUAAUAUAAUACAAACAUGUAUACAUAAUUUAAUAACAAAAUUUGCCGUAUUGCUCAAUUUUAAUGAAGAGCAUAUUUGUUUCAAAAAAAGAGUUAAAACCCUUCCAUGUCAGAAAUAUUGGCACAUGAGUAUGGCACACACUUGAGGGCUGUCAGAAAGUUUCAGUACAAACUUUAAAAAGAUUAAAACUGUUAAAGCAUAAAAUGGAACAGAACUUUAUUUCGAGUUACAAACUUUGGGGAGUUACUCUAAAAUGGAAAGACACGCUGGAUGCCAGAAUCAAAACAUUUUGCUCAGAAUUGAUAUAAGCUUUCACAUUUUUUAAGGAAAUUGUGCUUAAAUUUACAAAAAGUGCUUCGAAUUGUAUUAAAAAAAUCACUGAAAUAUUUAAGUAAAAAUAAAUUUCUUAUUAUAU